UGGAUAAUUGGAAAGUCUCUGUGUGUCAACCUCUGUGCUUCGUGGCAAGGUAGACUAGCAAACAUGCCCAACCUUUACUCACAUUCGAGAAAACACUCCCAACAAGAUUGCUUGCUCCAAAAUCGAAGAGGCACCGCCCUCCGAAUCUCGAGAGCCAGACUCCCAACGUGAUUACUUUCUCAAAAAUCGAAGAGACACUGCUCCCCGAAUCUUCGAGAGCCAGACCCCCAGCAUGAUUGCUUUCUCAAAAAUCGAUGAGGCAUCGUUCUCCGAAUCAAUCGAAGAGGCGCUCGCUUUCUCAAAAGCUGGGCUGCUCAGAGACCACGAGGGCCGAUCUCAGAAAUCGAAGAGGCACCUACUUUUCUAGCCUUGUCAGCAUCUGUCACACGCACACUCAGCUUUGCAGAAAUUAUGGGCAUUCUGUCGAAGACUUCUGGUGAAGUAGAAAGCACAUGAAUCUUACUGUUCAAUCACCCACUUCCCACACGCAACCAUAGCUCAUGGGUACCACAGAUAACUUUGCCAAAGUUCUCUGCCAAAGUUGAGCACGUGAAGCUUGCAGCUCCCACUACAUCGCUCUGACCAAGAAAGGUAAAAGAAUAGCAAAGAAACAGCACUAACAAAGUUUAGACACAUAAAUUUUGAAGGUCUAGCUACCAUAUUAUUACCCACAAGGGUAAAGGAACAGUACCACUGCUGGAUAAUUGGAAAGUCCCUGUGUGUCAACCUCUGUGCUUCGUGGCAAGGUAGACUAGCAAACAUGCCCAACCUUUACUCACUUUCGAGAAAACACUCCCAACAAGAUUGCUUGCUCCAAAAUCGAAGAGGCACCGUCCUCCGAAUCUCGAGAGCCAGACUCCCAACAUGACUACUCUCUCAAAAGCGAAGAGAGGGUAAAGGAACAGUACCAUUGCUGGAUAAUUGGAAAGUCCAUGUGUGUCAACCUUUGUGCUUCGUGGCAAGGUAGACUAGCAAACAUGCCCAACCUUUACUCACAUUCGAGACAACACUCCCAACAGGAUUGCUUGCUCCAAAAUCGAAGAGGCACCGUCCUCCGAAUCUCGAGAGCCAGACUCCCAACAUGAUUACUUCCUCAAAAAUCGAAGAGACACUGCUCUACGAAUCUCGAGAGCCAGACCCCCAGCAUGAUUGCUUUCUCAAAAAUCGAAGAGGCAUCGUUCUCCGAAUCUCGAGA
rnacentral:lncRNA from 1 species